rnacentral:rRNA from 1 species
UAUAUUAAGUUGUUGCGGUUAAAAAGCUCGUAGUUGGAUUUCUGGCGGGUGACGCUCGUCCGCCCAAGUGGUGUGUACAGGGCGUGCAUCUGGCCCCUUCUAGGGGAACGUGUUGCACUUUAUUGUGUGGCGCUAGAUCCUUGACUUUUACUUUGAUGAAAUAAUAUUGUGCCGGGCAGGCUCUCGUCGUGCAUAGCUCAAUAUGGAAUUAUAACAUUGGACUUCGUUUCUACUCUGUUGGUUGCAAUAAGCGAGGUAAUGAUGAAAAGGGAUAGUUGGGGGCAUUCGUAUUUAACUGUCAUAGGUGAAAUUCUUGGAUUUGUUAUAGACGGACUACUGCGAAAGCAUCUGCCAUGGAUGUUUUCAUUGAUCAAUAACGAAAUUUAGGGGAUCGAAAACGAUCAGAUACCGUCCUAGUCUUAUCUAUAAACCAUGCCUGCUAAACAUCGGAUGUCCUUCAAUUUGUGACACCUUCAGCAUCUUGACAUAAAUCACAGCCUUUGGGUUCCUGGGGGAGUAUGGU